UGGGGAAUUUUGGACAAUGGGCGGAAGCCUGAUCCAGCCAUGCCGCGUGAGUGAAGAAGGCCUUCGGGUUGUAAAGCUCUUUUAGUCGGAAAGAAAGAGUUGCAAUGAAUAAUUGUGAUUUAUGACGGUACCGACAGAAAAAGCACCGGCUAACUACGUGCCAGCAGCCGCGGUAAUACGUAGGGUGCGAGCGUUAAUCGGAAUUACUGGGCGUAAAGGGUGCGCAGGCGGUCUUGCAAGUCAGAUGUGAAAGCCCCGGGCUUAACCUGGGAAUUGCGUUUGAAACUACAAGACUAGAGUGCAGCAGAGGGGAGUGGAAUUCCAUGUGUAGCAGUGAAAUGCGUAGAGAUGUGGAAGAACACCGAUGGCGAAGGCAGCUCCCUGGGUUGACACUGACGCUCAUGCACGAAAGCGUGGGGAGCAAACA
rnacentral:rRNA from 1 species